GGGGCCAUAGCUCAGUUGGGAGAGCGCUUGCAUGGCAUGCAAGAGGU
rnacentral:tRNA from 1 species